UUUGGAAUUGCUGUUUGUUUUGCAGUUGGAGAACUGGAAGACUCUUCUGACUCUGACAUGGAGGACGUUAUUAAAACUGAGUUUGAUCGUGCUGAUCUACUGGAACAAUCUGGGGGCAGUUGUGUUUGCAGAUGAAGUACAGCAAGAUCAGAAAAUGUCUCACCAUCCAGACCUCCUGUUACUAAAAACGGUGAUAAAACAAAUGGCCGGACAAUGACCAACUGAAAACUGGACACUUAGCUAGAGUGAGGACAACAGAAAUGAAGACAGCUGUGGAUGAUUGACAUGAACCUGGCGUGAACAUGACCCAAAACGCCACUGAAAACCAGACUGGACGUCUUCACACCUUCAGAUCAGCUGGUCCACAAUUUGAGGCUACGCAAAAAGUUACUUUUUUUUUAACAGAAAAAACGAAUUUAAUUUUUUUUUUCUGUGCACAUUGAUUGUAAUUUAUAAAAAUUCAACCCAUAUGAAAUAUAGUGUAUGAUUUUGGAAAAAGAUGUCUUUAAAAUCAUCUGCUUUUUUAUGAAUAAAAAGUAAA